rnacentral:rRNA from 1 species
CCUUAGUUGCCAGCGAGUGAUGUCGGGAACUUUAAGGAAACUGCCGGUGAUAAGCCGGAGGAAGGUGGGGAUGACGUCAAGUCAGCAUGGCCCUUACGGCCUGGGCUACACACGUGUUACAAUGGUGGUGACAAAAAGAAGCAAUAGGGCGACCUGGAGCAGAUCUUAUAAAAGCUAUCUCAGUUCGGAUUGCACUCUGCAACUCGGGUGCAUGAAGUCGGAAUCGCUAGUAAUCGCAGAUCAGCAUGCUGCGGUGAAUACGUUCCCGGGUCUUGUACACACUGCCCGUCACGCCAUGGGAGUCGGUUUUGCCUGAAGUAGGUGCGCUAACCGCAAGGAGGCAGCUUACC